rnacentral:lncRNA from 1 species
GUACAACUUCGAAACUUCGGUAUAUUUGGAGUGCCACGAUGAAAGGUUUAUUUAGGUAGCUCAGAAGCGUAUGUUUAUGUAAUUUGUUGUAUCUUGGGUUGGUUCAACCGUACACCUGCUGCAAUUUAUUAUUAAAACGCUGCGGGGUAUUUUAAUUAUUCUCGUCUAUGGUCUUUUAAGUGUAACCAAGAGAGUUUAUGUUCAAAGAGGUGGAAACGUGUUUGCUUCGGGCUUUUGCAAAACUUAAACCAAAAACAAAGAUUUUCUGGUUGGUGUUUUUGGUAAAUCAUCCAAAAUGUAGAUUCUUCCACGUAAAUGUUUCACUUUUGAAAUUCGUUUAGACACGUUUAAUCGAUACAGUAGUGUUGAGUUUUUGAGUGAACACGAGAUUGUGCAAGAACAGCUAUGUUUGUAUAAUUACAAAACUGGGAGAAAUAUUUCUUGGUCAACCAAAUCUAUUCGUGGAUGCAGGCGGUUGAUAAUCUUUUGUUGCUGCUAAUUCUGCUAAAUCAUAAACUUGAGAAUUUAAGAGAACUCAAGACCGAAAACCGUCUGCCUACUUGGUUUGGGAAAAUGUUGGUUGAAAAAACCUCUAGUCCAUAUUUCUUGAAUCUUUAGACUUUGGUAUUUCUACAGAUGGGGAGAUUGUCCGCCCAAAUAUCGAAACCUAACAAUUUUUUCACAAUAAAAUACAUGUUUUAUA